GUUAUAGGGUCAAGCGAACAAGUGCAUGUGGUGGAUGCCUUGGCGAUCACAGGCGAUGAAGGACGCGGUAGCCUGCGAAAAGCUACGGGGAGCUGGCAAACAAGCUUUGAUCCGUAGAUGUCCGAAUGGGGAAACCCACUCCUUUUGGAGUAUCCAUGGCUGAAUACAUAGGCCAUGUGAAGCGAACGCGGUGAACUGAAACAUCUAAGUAACCGCAGGAAAAGAAAUCAACCGAGAUUCCCAAAGUAGUGGCGAGCGAAAUGGGAUGAGCCUUGCACUCUUUAUUUGUAUUGUUAGCCGAACGCUCUGGAAAGUGCGGCCAUAGCAGGUGAUAGCCCUGUAGGCGAAAACAGUAUGAAAGAACUAGGUGUGCGACAAGUAGGGCGGGACACGUGAAAUCCUGUCUGAAGAUGGGGGGACCAUCCUCCAAGGC
rnacentral:rRNA from 1 species